CAGCCUCCGCGGUAAUACGUAGGGUGCGAGCGUUAAUCGGAAUUACUGGGCGUAAAGCGUGCGCAGGCGGUUCGUUAAGACAGAUGUGAAAUCCCCGGGCUUAACCUGGGAACUGCAUUUGUGACUGACGGGCUAGAGUAUGGCAGAGGGGGGUAGAAUUCCACGUGUAGCAGUGAAAUGCGUAGAGAUGUGGAGGAAUACCGAUGGCGAAGGCAGCCCCCUGGGCCAAUACUGACGCUCAUGCACGAAAGCGUGGGGAGCAAACAGGAUUAGAUACCCCCGUAGUCCCUGUCUCUUAUAA
rnacentral:rRNA from 1 species